rnacentral:rRNA from 1 species
ACAGGGAUUGCCUCAGUAACGGCGAGUGAAGCGGCAACAGCUCAAAUUUGAAAUCUGGCCCUUUCAGGGUCCGAGUUGUAAUUUGUAGAGGGUGCUUUGGUGUUGGCCGUGGUCUAAGUUCCUUGGAACAGGACGUCACAGAGGGUGAGAAUCCCGUACGUGGCCGCCGGUCUUCACCGUGUAAAGCCCCUUCGACGAGUCGAGUUGUUUGGGAAUGCAGCUCUAAAUGGGAGAUAAAUUUCUUCUAAAGCUAAAUAUUGGCCAGAGACCGAUAGCGCACAAGUAGAGUGAUCGAAAGAUGAAAAGCACUUUGGAAAGAGAGUCAAAAAGCACGUGAAAUUGUUGAAAGGGAAGCGCUUGCAGCCAGACGUGCCCGCAGUUGCUCACCUGGGCUUUUGCCCGGGGCAUUCUUCUGCGGGCAGGCCAGCAUCAGUUCGGGCGGUUGGAUAAAGGCCUCUAUCACGUACCAUCCUUCGGGAUGUCCUUAUAGGGGAGGCGCAACACGACCAGCCUGAACUGAGGACCGCGCAUUUGCUAGGAUGCUGGCGUAAUGGCUGUAAGCGGCCCGUCUUGAAACACGGACCAAGGAGUCUAACAUCUAUGCGAGUGUUUGGGUGUAAAGCCCGGACGCGCAAUGAAAGUGAACGGAGGUGGGAACCCCUCGGGGUGCACCAUCGACCGAUCCUGAAGUCUUCGGAUGGAUUUGAGUAAGAGCAUAGCUGUUGGGACCCGAAAGAUGGUGAACUAUGCCUGAAUAGGGUGAAGCCAGGGGAAACCCUGGUGGAGGCUCGCAGCGGUUCUGACGUGCAAAUCGAUCGUCAAAUUUGGGCAUAGGGGCGAAAGACUAAUCGAAC